rnacentral:snoRNA from 1 species
AGCCUCAUUCGAGAUGAGACUGUGCAGGGUCCACCAGUGUCCACAAACUGUUCAUGUGGCUAAAUCGACACAGAGGUUAGGCUUCCCCUACUAAGUGUACUGCCGGGCUGAAAACGAGACCUGGCACAUUU